rnacentral:rRNA from 1 species
UACGAAGGGGGCUAGCGUUGCUCGGAAUCACUGGGCGUAAAGGGUGCGUAGGCGGGUCUUUAAGUCAGGGGUGAAAUCCUGGAGCUCAACUCCAGAACUGCCUUUGAUACUGAGGAUCUUGAGUUCGGGAGAGGUGAGUGGAACUGCGAGUGUAGAGGUGAAAUUCGUAGAUAUUCGCAAGAACACCAGUGGCGAAGGCGGCUCACUGGCCCGAUACUGACGCUGAGGCACGAAGGCCAGGGAGCAAACGGG